CAAAUUAAAGCUUUUUUGUGAAGCAUUUUAGUUACAUUAAAAAGAAUAUUUAGUUGAUAUAAUUUGA
rnacentral:tRNA from 1 species